AUACCUUUCUCGGCCUUUUGGCUAAGAUCAAGUGUAGUAUCUGUUCUUAUCAGUUUAAUAUCUGAUACGUGAAUCAAUGAUUCACACGAUAUUAAAUUAAUUUUUUAAGGGAAAGGGUUCACCGCAAUAGCUUGCUAUUGGAACUCUUACGUGUUGCUUAAGUGUUGCACUAUUGCUUAGGCCUGGCACACCCCAC